ACCUUCCAGGCGCUAGCUCCGCCCCAGCCGUAAAUCCUCCCACUUCCGGCUCUAUGCUUGGAAAGCUGGAUAUUACGUCUGCAGCCUCUAGGCAGCUGUUGCGGUGGACAAACGUUAGUCCUUUGAGGCAGUCUUAGAUGGAGACCUUUAGCCAGUCAGCCCAGUAGCACAUCGCAUCUCUUGCCCCAGUGAUGCCUCCUGAGUGUUAUAGCAUGGACCUGUAAUCCCAGUGCAUCAAGAAGCAUUGGCAGAGACACAUCAGAAGAGAUCUGGGACCUUACCAGCUUCUCCUGUACUCAGACGCCCUAACUGCCGUCAUCUGUGUACUGAGCUAAUAGUGCCCUGAGGUAAGCCAGCUGGCUGGAACCUGUUUCCAGGUCCAUUCUUGCUAGUCUUGCUGCCCUGGGACUGUGUCCCAUUCUUCCUUCAUUCUGAAAUAAUUCUUAGAAGGACAUGUCCAUGUACCUGACACCACACUUCCUGUUCCAAAGAAGCCUGUGACCCCGUACUUUAGAACAGGUUCUCCUUGUCAGUAAACUGGACUAAAUCUAGUUGUGUGUUUUGUAGGUAGAACAAUUCUCUCAUGUUUCAUAUUUGAUAUAUGCUUUAGUAUGAAAUAGCAUUUUGGAAAUAUGUUACAUAAUGUCAAUGAUAAUAAUAAAUCACUUUUUGUUCUUUUCUUGUGAUA